GAGUUUGAUUCUGGCUCAGGAUGAACGCUAGCUACAGGCUUAACACAUGCAAGUCGAGGGGCAGCAUGAAGUCAGCUUGCUGACUUUGAUGGCGACCGGCGCACGGGUGCGUAACGCGUAUCAAACCUGCCGCAUACUCGGGGAUAGCCUUGCGAAAGUAAGAUUAAUACCCGAUGUUAUUAUGCUCUCGCAUGAGGGUCUAAUCAAAGAUUUUAUCGGUAUGCGAUGGUGAUGCGUCUGAUUAGGUAGUAGGCGGGGUAACGGCCCACCUAGCCGACGAUCAGUAGGGGUUCUGAGAGGAAGGUCCCCCACACUGGAACUGAGACACGGUCCAGACUCCUACGGGAGGCAGCAGUGAGGAAUAUUGGUCAAUGGACGGAAGUCUGAACCAGCCAAGUAGCGUGCAGGAUGACGGCCCUCCGGGUUGUAAACUGCUUUUAGUUGGGAAUAACGGCGGGGACGCUCCCCGAA
rnacentral:rRNA from 1 species